AGCGGCGUAAGGGGCAGUAAUACCUGGGAACGUACCCUGAGGUCGGGGAUAGCUGCUGGAAACGGCGAGUAAUACCCGAUGAUCUUGAGAAAGCAAAGGCUUGCCGCCUUCGGAGCGGCCCAGGCGAUAUUAGCUAGUUGGUGAGGUAACGGCUUACCAAGGCUUAGAUGUCUAGCGGGUGUGAGAGCACGACCCGCGCCACUGGCACUGAGACACUGGCCAGACACCUACGGGUGGCUGCAGUCGAGAAUCUUCGGCAAUGAGCGCAAGCUUGACCGAGCGACGCCGCGUGCGGGAUGAAGGCCUUCGGGUUGUAAACCGCUUUGGUCCGAGAGAAAGGGUAAAACUUGAUCGAUCGGAGAAACAAGGACGGGCUAAGUUCGUGCCAGCAGCCGCGGUAAGACGAACCGUCCAAACGUUAUUCGGAAUCACUGGGCUUAAAGGGCGCGUAGGCGGCCGAGCGGGUCGCGGGUGAAAUCCUCCAGCUUAACUGGAGAACUGCCCUCGAUACCACUGCGGCUCGAGGAAGGAAGGGGUCAUGGGAACUGUCGGUGGAGCGGUGAAAUGCGUUGAUAUCGACAGGAACGCCUGUGGCGAAAGCGCAUGACUGGUCCUUUUCUGACGCUGAGGCGCGAAAGCCAGGGGAGCAAACGGGAUUAGAUACCCCGGUAGUCCUGGCCUUAAACGAUGAGAACUAGGU
rnacentral:rRNA from 1 species